UGCUGUUUACGAAUUGAUUGGUUUCUGUCCAUCAUCUUUAUUUUUAAGAAAUUUGAUGUCAUAUUGAUUCCAGAGUUAAUAUUAUUAGGGUUUCUUCUCUCAUUGCUCUCGAUUGAAUUGGUGCGUUUUGUUCUUCGUAUUCUUGUUUCUAAAUUGUGGAUAUUGAUUAAUUUGUGUUUGAUCAUAAUUCCGACUUUGUUAUUUUUUAUUUUUGGUUUUGGAUUACUGGGAAGACCGCUGAGAUGGCAUCAAAAUCCACUCCCGGUGUUAUCCGUCACGAACGUCGAUUGGUGAGAUAUUACCCAUUCACUAGCGGGAGCAGCUCUGCUGUGAAAGAGGAGAUGAAAAAGGAGGUUAUACAACUAGGGGUUAAGCUUUCUCUCUCGUCUUUGAAUCCAUGUUCUUACUUUGUGAUGAUAUCCGUACUAUGUUGUUCUUCUGCCAAAAGUUAUGGAGAGAUUAUAAUAGGUGCCCCGAUCCCGUAUUCGAAAGGCUGCUUCGUGUUUUGCAUUAUGUCUACUUAAGAUAUCAAACCCAAGAAAAGAGUGUUUAAGAAUUAUGGUCAAUACGCCCAGUGGAGACUGAUCAGUACCACUUGGGAGGAUUUUGCUAAUGGAGUCAUGGUUAUGUUUAGCCUUGUUAGGGUUCUCAGAAGAAAAGAUUGGUCUUACGAUAAUCAUGAUCGACUUUUAUUUUCGGCUAUUGAAAAAUUCAAGCAAGUGUUGAAGAGGCUAGAUGAUAAACUGAGGUCUAAAAAGAAUGAUUGGGAGAAGAAUGGGUUUAUGAGGGAGACCAUAGAGCCUAACAUUUAUGAGUUGUGGAAGUCUAUCUUUGAUGAAAAAGCUAAAGAAACCACACAUACUCUGAAAGAGAUAAGGAAUAGAAUUAUUAGCUGCAUCUUUGAUCCUAUUGCAGGCAAACCUAUCCAUAGAAAGAUAAGGGCAAUGCCCCCACAUACACCUUACAUGUUCGGGUCAGUCAUAUUGUGAGUAAAAUUUUAAAUAAUUCUUCGUUGCAAAUUUUUUACUUUUUAAGUGUAUUUUUGUUUUGCAAGAAUGAUUUUCCAAAGCAAGAACUGAAAGAGGAAGUUGUGAAACUAGGAAUUGAAAGACUGCUUUAUGUUAAUUAUGCUAUCCAGCCUAAGGAUAAAGCAUUUGAGAAUGAUGAUGCCAGAUGGGUCCAAUGGAAAGUGAUCAGAACCACUAUGAAGGAUUUUGCGGCUGGAAUCAGAGAUCUAGAUCGCCUUGUUACGAUUCUUAGAGGAGAAGGAAGCUAUUCAGAUGACCGAGAGUUUACAUCUAGAAUUGAAGCACUGAAGAGGAUAGAUGACAAGUUGAGGUGUACUAAAAAAAAUUCAGAGGAGAAUGGGUUUGCGAGGGAAAUGAUGGAGUCUAACAUUUUGGAGUUGUGGAGGUUUCUCUUUGACAAAAAAGCGAAGGGAGCAUGGAAACCUAGAGUGAUGAGGAGGAUCGUGUCUCUCACUGACCUGUAUAAACCUCUAUUAGAAAGGACAUUAUAAGAACAUUAGGUUACUACUAGUUUAUUCUUUGCUUCUAUCUUUUAAUUUAUGUAAUAGAUGGAAUACUUGUUAAUUAACCGUUAUUUUAGUUUCAAA